AUAGAUCUGGCAGAGGAGACACCAUGAUCCUGAAGGUGGUUUUCCCAGAGUGAGGCUUUUCCAUUCCACUCCAGGGUUUUUUGAGUAAAGCUCUGAGGGAUAUUCAAAGCUUCAACAUAGCACAAUAUUUAAGUGGA
rnacentral:snRNA from 1 species